rnacentral:lncRNA from 1 species
ACAGCGCCGCGAACCUGCCCCUGUGGCCGGCUGGGUCCGCCUCCCCCUGCAGCCUCCCGGGCGAAGACGCCAGAAGACAUAUCAGCUUUCUUUUCGUUGGUGUUUACAAGAUGGGAGUCUCACUCUGUCGCCCAGGCUGGAGUUCAGUGACGCAAUCUCGGCUCACCACAACCUCCGUCUCCCAGGUUUAAGCGAUUCUCCUGCCUCAGCCUCCCGAGUAGCUGGGAUUACAGACGCCCACCACCAUGUCUGGCUAAUUUUUGUAUUUUUAGUAGAAAGGAGGUUUCACCACAUUGGCCAGGCUGGUCUUGAACUCCUGACCUCAAGUGAUCCACCUGCCUCAGCCUCCCAAAGUGCUGGGAUUACAGGCAUGAGCCACCACACCCAGUCCUGAAAUUAACAUUUGAGACAGUGGACUGGGAGAGGCAGACCCACCCUCAAUCUGGGUGGGCACCAUCUGCCCACCCAGCUGCCAGCACAGCUAGGAUAAAAGCAGGCAGAGGAACGUGGAAGGACUAGACUGGCUGACUCUUCCAGCCUUCAUCUUUCUCCUGUGCUGGAUGCUUCCUGCCUUCGAACAUUGGACUCCAAGUUCUUCAGCUUUUCGACUCUUGGACUUACACCAGUGGUUUGUCAGGGGCUCUCCAGCCAUCAGCCACAGACUGAAGGCUGCACUGUUGGCUUCCCUACUUUUGAGGUGUUGGGACUCGGACUGGCUUCCUUGCUCCUCAGCUUGCAGACGGCCUAUUGUGGGACUUCAUCUUAUGAUCGUGACCUGGCUUCUUGAGACUGGAAUAGAAGAAGGGGGAAAAGCCUAGGACAAUAAACUGAUCCAGUCAAGACUGCUUCUGAGAGCAAGUACUACCAGAAUUGCUAGGCCAACCCAAACUAAAGGAAUAUCAAAAUGCCCCAUACAAGUCAUAGUGGAUGAAGGACAGGGUCAGGGAGUCUAUUCAAUCCAGAUGCCAGUCUGCUAAAGCAUUAGAGAAAUAGGAGAGAUAAAGCAAGAGAAUUAUGGGCAGUUAGGCAAGGCUGAGUCUGUAGCCAGGUUACCAUAAAUCUCAAGUUGAGGCCACAGAUUUCUCGAAAGCAAGGAUUCUUAACCAGGAUAUGUUUUUGUAUGAACACAUGCCUGUACUGUCCCUCAAGAUGACACAUUUACUCCCCAGAUCUAACAUUAUAACAAACCCUCAGAUGACAUCAUCUAGGGUGCUCCCUCUGUGAAUACACACUAGAAGAAAUGGUUAUAGGAGCUGGUUGAGACAGGUUCUUAGGACAUAUUGUCUGCUAACCCAAGUUCAGAUGAUUGAUGCCAACAAAGAUUGCCACAGUCCUAAAGUAGCAUCCCCCUUCCCAAAUCAUUAAGGAUAUAUAGAAGGUCCUUGGAUUCAUCCCACAUUUCAUCCAUGUCACCACCCUGCUGAUGAAUCUAUUCAAGGUCUAUUAUCCAUUCGGUUCCUUGGAUGGAUAAAGUCAAGCUUUUCAGCAAAUUAAAGAGACUUUUCAUUCAUGCUAUAAUGUUAAUUUCCUUCAACUCACAAUGCCUUUUCAUGGAAAAGAUCAAUACUUCCAACCUCAGCCAGGACUAUUUUUUCACAAACAAAUCCUAGGCCAGUAUUUCCCAAGCCUCUCUGAAGAAACACCCCAGAUUCCUGAACCCAAACCUAGAUCUAUGAUUAUAAUUUCCAGGGACAAAAUCUGGUAAUCUGCUCUAGACAAAUACUCUCGUAGCUUAAACAUACUUCUUUUGUAAAUGCAUCUCUUUGUUUAACCCCAAACCACAGCUCUUCUGGGUGAAAGAGCUCCUACAGUGAUGGCUGACUUCAACACUGCUUGGGAGAGGCCUGGCACCCAUAACAUCUGAGACAUCUCUACCAACUGGGAUCUCCUUUCAAGUUCAGUCAAAAACAGUCAAAGUUGGCCCUGUUCUUCCAACAACCCAUGUCUGAUGCAGUCUCAAAUCUUUUUCUAAAUAAGGCAGGGAUAAGAAAGACAGGCAAAUGGAUCCUCAUCCAGAAAUGGAUUCUAGAACUAAACCUGUAUCACCCCAGUUGCAGAUUUCACAAGAAUAUGGUCCUGCCUGGUCCUGUUGGGUUUGAUGGGGUUCAAAACAUGCUACCCCAAAAUAUGGCACCUUGGCAUAUUGAAUAUUUUAAGCUGAAGGAAUUUGAGAAGCAGCCAUUGCAGGAAGGACUCUCUAACCUCCCCUUUCUCGCCAGAGCACGUCAUAAGACCCUCACAGAAGAGGUGCCCUCCCUAUAACUGGAGGAAGGGAGCAUCCUUAUGUCAGAAGACGGAAGGAUGCUGAGAGGAAUUUGAGGGAAUGGGCCUUGCUAUGUUUCCUCCAGUUUACUAUCCUUAGUUCAUAUCCUUUGUCCUAUCACAUUUUCCCACAACACUCCACUCUUCAUUAAAUCAAAUAUAAAAGUGCUCAGGCUUAACCUGAACUGGCUUAACCUCAAGCUAACCAUUCUUUGGGUCUUCCUUUCCUUAUGAAGGCUCCUAUGUCAUGUAAAACUUAUAUUAAAUAAAUGUGUUUGCUCUUCUCAUGUUAAUCUGUCCUGUCAACAUAGUUUUCAGGCCCAGCCAAGAACCCUAGGAGGGUUAAGGAAAAGUUUUACUCCCCUACAGCUUUCAUCAUAUUCCUUCUCCAGUGACUUUACUGAUAUGGUUCUGUGGGUCAUUAAGGUCUCCUGUAGAAGCAACAUUAUUUUUUAUGUCCUAGCCAUUAAAGUCUAGACUCCAGACUGGAUUGGGUGCUAUGAGAGCAUACUUGGUCUACUAGGUCUUCCAGUAACCCUACAUACUCCACAGCAGUCCACCCAUUGCAGGGUCCUAUACAUGUGUACCCAAGCAAAAUAUACACAAGAAUGGGUCAAUCUCUGAGGGUAAUACCUGAGAGAUCUGCAGCCUGCCUUACACAUAUUCCUAAUUGCCUUCCUAACACUAAUUCCCUUGAAAGAACUUGGAGAAACCCGGAGUCCACCUCCAAUUCACAAUGCAGACUAAGAGUUCAGAACAGGAGUGAAGCCUCUAGAAGCAAAGGCCAAACAUAAAAGCAUACUGUAAUCAGGGCCUGGCAUCCAUUACAUACAAUUCUAUUGUUAUGGAUCACACUCUUUUCCUUCUUCAAGCUUGAUUUUACCAGUAAAUAACAAUUACUUUAGAACCACCUUAGCCAAGCUUUAAUGUCUACUACCACUUCAACCCCCUAGUUCACAAUUUAUCUUCUUCCUGGCUCAGCACAUUUGGACUAACCACACAGAAAUGGACCUCUGUCCUAUUUCAGCAUCUGCUAUAGUUUGAAUGUGUCCUCCAAAUUUUAUGUGUUGGAAACUUAAUCCUCAAAUUCAUAUGUUGAUGGUAUUUGGAGGUAGGGCCUUUGGGAAAUAAUUAGGAUUAAAUAAGGUCACCAGGGUGGGGCCACCAUGAUGGAACUGGUGGCUUUAUACGAAGAGGAAGAGAAAUUGGAGCUGGCACACUCUUGCCCUCUCACCAUGUGUUGCCCUCCACCAUGUUAUAAUGCAGCAAGAAAGCCUCACCAGAUGCUGACACCAUGUUCUUGGACUUGCCAACCUCCAGAACCUUGAGCUAAAUACAUUUAUUUUCUUUAUAAAUUUCUCAGUCUUAGGUAUUCAGUUAUAGCAACAGAAAAUGGACUAAGACAGUAUCUUUCUCUUGGGAGUGGAUUGCAUGAGAAAAUCAAGUGGGCAAAGCUCAAAACAUCCAGAUCUCCAAGUCUGGCCCCAAAGGUUCCCAUAUAUAAUAAGGGAAACUAAAGAGAAUCUUGGAAUAUUUUGAGCAAGAAAGUGGUACAAUAAAUCAAUGCUUUACAAAGGUUAAUCUGGCAUCUGCAGGAUGGAUUUAAGGGUAGAAGUUACUGGAUUCAUAGGAAGACUAUUAUACUAAUCAAAUGUGAAGAUUCUGAAAGUCUGAUUUUGAAAGGUGG